rnacentral:rRNA from 1 species
AGAACGAACGCUGGCGGCAUGCCUAAUACAUGCAAGUCGAACGAACACUUCGGUGUUAGUGGCGCACGGGUGCGUAACGCGUGGGAAUCUGCCCUUGGGUUCGGAAUAACAGUUGGAAACGACUGCUAAUACCGGAUGAUAUCGAAAGAUCAAAGAUUUAUCGCCCAGGGAUGAGCCCGCGUAGGAUUAGCUAGUUGGUGAGGUAAGGCUCACAAGGCGACGAU